CCCCAAGUCACCAAUUCUGGUGCCUGUCCCUGAGUGGGUUCCAUCUUAAGAGCCAGGGAUGCUGCAGUAGGCCCGGUCAAUGCCAGCAUCACCAGCCCAAUGACACGGACACUGGGCUGGCGGUGAGCCCAGCACACGCUGGAGUACCUCCCAAUCAACUCCUGCAUUCUAGAGGCUUCAGAAAAGCUAAGUCCUACAUGGAAACAAAAAUUUGGCCCAAGAUCAACAGUAACUCCGUGUCUCAGUCGUCUACAAACCAGCUCCCUUCACUGGCUGACGCCCAGACUCAUCUCAGGAACCACAGGGGCGCCUGAAAGCCAGAAGGCCCUCUCCAAACUGCUGUAGGAGCCAAUCCCGCCCAUUUGUGAUGUCUGGGCUCACCAGCUCCGCCCCGCCCACUCCCAAGGCAGUGCUGGU